AUACGUAGGGGGCAAGCGUUAUCCGGAUUUACUGGGUGUAAAGGGAGCGUAGGUGGCAGGGCAAGUCAGAUGUGAAAGCCCGGGGCUCAACCCCGGGACUGCAUUUGAAACUGCCUUGCUAGAGUGCAGGAGAGGUAAGUGGAAUUCCUAGUGUAGCGGUGAAAUGCGUAGAUAUUAGGAGGAACACCAGUGGCGAAGGCGGCUUACUGGACUGUAACUGACACUGAGGCUCGAAAGCGUGGGGAGC
rnacentral:rRNA from 1 species